UUUAUUGGAGAGUUUGAUCCUGGCUCAGGAUGAACGCUGGCGGCGUGCCUAAUACAUGCAAGUCGAGCGAAUGGAUUAAGAGCUUGCUCUUAUGAAGUUAGCGGCGGACGGGUGAGUAACACGUGGGUAACCUGCCCAUAAGACUGGGAUAACUCCGGGAAACCGGGGCUAAUACCGGAUAACAUUUUGAACYGCAUGGUUCGAAAUUGAAAGGCGGCUUCGGCUGUCACUUAUGGAUGGACCCGCGUCGCAUUAGCUAGUUGGUGAGGUAACGGCUCACCAAGGCAACGAUGCGUAGCCGACCUGAGAGGGUGAUCGGCCACACUGGGACUGAGACACGGCCCAGACUCCUACGGGAGGCAGCAGUAGGGAAUCUUCCGCAAUGGACGAAAGUCUGACGGAGCAACGCCGCGUGAGUGAUGAAGGCUUUCGGGUCGUAAAACUCUGUUGUUAGGGAAGAACAAGUGCUAGUUGAAUAAGCUGGCAC
rnacentral:rRNA from 1 species